UGGUUGGGACUGUCCUGACAUCCCAUGCCCUUACUUGGUGACUGACACCGGCACUGAAUGAACAACGUUUUCAACCAGUAACAGUGACAUUUUGUGAUGCAGUGGCAUGGAAUACUAGAAAGAGAAAAAUUACAGCUUGGAAUAAGUUAUAUUAUUAAAUGCAUCUUAUUUUAUAUUACAAAUGAAGCAUUCGGUAAUACUCCUACAAUCUCUUAAAGUGACUGCAUAAAAAUCCUUGUUUUUCUAUGUUGAUCAUGGAAAACAUCUCGAGGUAGUUCAGUUUUAAUCAGUGUAUGGGCUCUUCAUGGGUCAUUGUUUAUCAUUUUGGAUAUUGGCAGAAUCCACUGAAUGAAGAAGUUGCUUUUUUUUUAAACCCGAUACAAUGAUUGUUUUAGGCAGCAUUGGAUGAUUGAUUUAAACUGAUUGAACAGUCUCAGCCCUUUCAGUGCUGUUUUUAUAAUGGAAUAAAAUAAUAAUAAUAAUAGCUAAUGGUAUCAAAUGCUUAGUUCUAAAUAGUUCGCAUGUAUCCUCAUUUAAUCUCCAAACAGCACUAGGGUGUGAAUGUCCGUGUUUUUCUAAUUUAUAAGUGGGAACCACCAUCUGAAGCCACUAAGAGACUGAAAAACUUAACUGAAGUCUUAUAGGUAAUGAAGUGCCGGAGCUAGGAUUUGAACCUGGUGAGAGUGACUUCAGUGCCCAUGCAAUCAAUCACUAGAAUAUUGUGCCCUUCCAUAAGAUGGAACAUAAAAAAGUCUACUUUGAAAUCCGGUAGUCAAGCAGAGGCCAACUGAACACUACGGUACAUCAGCGUAUUACAUUUUACAGCUAGAAGAGCCUUGCGUAGCAUCCUAUGCUCUCUUUAUCCAACUUCACCUACGUAAAGACUGAAGACUAUCACUCCUUACCAUUGACAGAUUUGCACCUGAAGCUGCAAAAAUCUACCUCCUGAUCAUUUGUGUCUUGACACUCCCAAUGACAAAAAAACAGAAACAAAAAGCACAGAGACAGUGAGAAAAUCUGUGCUUUUCCAGUAGUGACCUCUUUAAAGAGUGAUAAACUGGACGUAUUUUAAAAAUGAAGUUUUAUCGUACAUUAAUUUUUAGCUUGAAAUUCUUUAUAUCAUUUAUUUAAUAUCAAAGCUUUUAACCCAAUUACAUAUGAGGAAAAAAUAUUUAUUCUGUUUCCUUGCAGUUUGGAAAAUAUUUGUCUCGAUGCCAAACUGCCCAAAGACCUCCUCUUUCACUGAGGAAGCAAAGUUUCAGGAGAGUUUACUUAGAAUUGCUGAUCUUUUUCCUUUUCUCGAACGUUCCCAUGGUGCCCCAGUUCAACACCUGGAGUAUUCUCUUUCCUAGAGCCAUUUGCAUUCAACUCCCCAUCCACACGUAGCCAUUUUUUAAGUCCAAAGCAGAACUUAAAAAUGAUCCAAAUAUCUAAUCAAAGGAAAGAUUUAUUUCUUCAUCCUGGCAAAUGUCUCCCCUAAUGAAUUUCAACCAAACUAACCUGGAAUUAACUUUUGGCAUACCUCAUGCUAAUGGCAGAUUUGCUUUCUACUUUUGAAGGCAAAUUGAUAUUCACAAAUCAUACGUCACAAGCCACUAAAAGUGUCAGAAUCCUACAGCAGGCCCAUGGUGGCUUGUUAAUCUCUCCUGUUUAAAGGAAACAGACUAAUUCACUUAAAUAUAAUGAAAGCCAUACCUACUCCGGCCCAGUCCCUCAAAGAGUUCCAGCCCAUGCAAGUCCUGCCUUCUUUCUUCACCUCCUCUCCUGGCUCGGACAAUUAAACAUGAAGCGAAGAAGCAAUGAUUCCCUUAAUUUUGCCAUGUCUGAGUUACUUCAGAUGCCACAUGUGUCUGAGAUGUAGCAGACUUUAUUCUUUUUUGCACAGAAAAUAUAUACAAGUAGGGUAUCCCUGCCUACCUUUCACCAUUGUUUUCAACAAAGCAUAAAAGAUAAACCAGGAUGUUACAUCGAGGGGCCAGAUGUAUAUAUAACCUUUUGGCCUCCCUAUUCUAAUUGGCUUCCAUUAGGGGGAGGGAGAGAAAAAUAAAAUAGUACAACACAGGAAAUAAUAGACAAAGAGGUGUGAGAGUGAACUUUUAUAGUGGAUUGGCUGAAAUCGAUAUACUAUGAUCACGACGGAAGAGCAGUUUUCGAAAGGAUCAAACCAAAGAUGAUUGGCAUAAUAGUAACAGAAAGAGGAAAACAUUCAUCUUAAUGUAUGUGCCCAGAAAUUGUCCGACUGGGAUAACUUGUCCCGAAGACACAUUAUGUUUAACGUUUCUCAUAUUGACGUUCAUUUCAGUACUUUGAAGAGUCAAACCCUCU